CACGUAGGCGGAUCGAUCAGUCAGGGGUGAAAUCCCAGGGCUCAACCCUGGAACUGCCUUUGAUACUGUCGAUCUGGAGUAUGGAAGAGGUGAGUGGAAUUCCGAGUGUAGGGGUGAAAUUCGUAGAUAUUCGGAGGAACACCAGUGGCGAAGGCGGCUCACUGGCCCGAUACUGACGCUGAGGCACGAAAGCGUGGGAGCAAACA
rnacentral:rRNA from 1 species